CAACCUGCCGCUUACUCGGGGAUAGCCUUUCGAAAGAAAGAUUAAUACCCGAUGGUAUAAAGAGUUCGCAUGUUCUCUUUAUUAAAGAAUUUCGGUAAGCGAUGGGGAUGCGUACCAUUAGAUAGUUGGCGGGGUAACGGCCCACCAAGUCUACGAUGGAUAGGGGUUCUGAGAGGAAGGUCCCCCACAUUGGAACUGAGACACGGUCCAAACUCCUACGGGAGGCAGCAGUGAGGAAUAUUGGUCAAUGGACGCGAGUCUGAACCAGCCAAGUAGCGUGAAGGAUGACUGCCCUAUGGGUUGUAAACUUCUUUUAUAAGGGAAUAAAGUGAGGGACGUGUCCCUUUUUGUAUGUACCUUAUGCAUAAGGAUCGGCUAACUCCGUGCCAGCAGCCGCGGUAAUACGGAGGAUCCGAGCGUUAUCCGGAUUUAUUGGGUUUAAAGGGAGCGUAGGUUGACGUAUAAGUCAGCUGUGAAAGUUUACGGCUCAACCGUGAAAUUGCAGUUGAUACUGUAUGUCUUGAGUGUACAAGAGGUGGGCGGAAUUCGUGGUGUAGCGGUGAAAUGCUUAGAUAUCACGAAGAACUCCGAUUG
rnacentral:rRNA from 1 species